UGAUGGUAAGCGAUGGUUGUCAUCUACAGUCCACUACGGUUACAGAGACGUGUGGUUUGUGUUUUAACACCGUUUCAUCUCAUAAUUUAGACUUUCUAUCCCCUUUCUUCAGUGCAGAAAUGGGCUUCUAUAGUUGUGUGAAGGCAUCGCUCCAGCCAAUCCAAAGACGGCGUUUGUAACCAAUCAGAUGUAGAUACCAUGGUGACUGGCUCCGCCCCCUGGUGACUGGCCCCGCCCCCUUACUGUAAAAAAGAACAGCGAGUGCGUAGAAAACAUCUUUGAGCGCGAGCAGAGAUUCACCUCGCGGGGAAGUUCACGUUCCGCGAGCGAGCAAAUCUCUCGCGCGAGACGAACUUUUGCUCGCAGAAGUUUGAUUUACGCGCAUCAGCCUGAUUUGCACUCUCGAAUUUUGACAGUGAUUUGCCGCCAUAUUUUACCCUCAAUAUGCUUCCUUUAGGCGAUCAAAAAACACACAUAAACUUCCAUUGUUAUGCAGACGAUACUCAACUGUAUCUGUCGAUCAAGUCAGACAGGACCGAACAGCUUGCUGGGGAGGCACCGUCUUAUCUCCAUCACAUUGCUGGUACUGCCGUGAUAAACCAACAUUAACAACUCUGCUUCUUUCCCGAAGUCUUUGUGCCUUCCCUCCCCAGAGGCUUCUGUGGACGGAGGUUCUAUCUGAUGGAGGUUCUAUCUGAUGGUGGUUGGCCCUUCAGUGGUCCUGCCCUACACCUGCUUACUACUCACAAUAUUUGAAUUAUUUCUGUUGUAGGAAUUUAAUGUAUUGUACAUCUCUUAUUUAUCAUCAUUGCAGUCUGUCCAUCGGGAGACGGAUCCUCCUCUGACUGUAAAGCCCUCUGAGAUGAUGAGGUGAGGAAGUACUUCCUCCUCCAGGUGAAGCACUCACAGCUGCAGGUAGGACAUGAGGAAGGAAAUCAGGUAGGAGAUAAGGUAGGAGAUGAGGUAGGAGAUGAGGAAGGAGAUGAGGAAGGAGAUCUGGAACGCAAUGAGGAAGCAUAUGAGGAAGCACAUGAAGAAGGGGUUGAGGUAUGAGGAAGCAGGAGGGUGGAGGUGAUUUCCCACUGGUUAGGGAGGAGGAGGCUCAGACGUGUUCACAUUGAUCUGGUAUCUGUUUUAAUCUCAGAUGAACAUGAGAGAAGAUCAGGACUCAUAAUCAGAAGCUCCUCACAUGAAAGAUUUCUGUCCAUAUGAGCCUUUGACCUCAGAGGAACAAACAUUCAAACAUGGAGAUGGUUCCGGACAUGAGAAGAAGGGUUAUUAAUGUCAACAUCUGUAGUGUUUUCAGCCUAGUCCACAUGCAUGAAGGUCUUUGUGUCGUCAGUAAUCCUGCAAGACAAACCCUGGACAUUAGAACUGGAACCACGUGAGCAGGAUGAUGAGGAUGAUCUGUUUGGGGUCUUUUAAAACUUACAGAGUUUCCCAGAAAUAACAAUUAAUAAUAUUACCGAGAACUAAAACAAAGACAACACGUGAAGCUUCAGUUAUGAACAUUAAUGAUCAGUAUUAUCAUACUAUCAUGUAUGUGAUCGUGGACUCACAGCAUUCAUUAACUUUCUCUCUUUAAGUUUUUCUUCUGGGGAUCAGUGAAGUGUUAUAUAACACUUAUAAUAUAAUUAUAUUAUUAUAACUCCAAACAAGACUUGUUUUAAAUAUAUAUGAAGCAGAU
ensembl:lncRNA